rnacentral:rRNA from 1 species
AGGACGAACGCUGGCGGCGUGCUUAACACAUGCAAGUCGAGCGGAAAGGCCCUUCGGGGUACUCGAGCGGCGAACGGGUGAGUAACACGUGAGCAAUCUGCCCCUAGCUCUGGGAUAGCUCCGGGAAACCGGGAUUAAUACCAGAUACAACCACUUUAGACAUCUUUUGUGGUGGAAAGGAUUCCGGCUAGGGAUGAGCUCGCGGCCUAUCAGCUUGUUGGUUGGGGUAACGCCUACCAAGGCGACGACGGGUA